rnacentral:lncRNA from 1 species
AGGGAACAGGCUGGUUGGAUCCCAUGACAAUCCCCCAGUCCCCCACAGGGAGCACAUUAGCUUCUGUUUGGCUGAGAUAUCUGUACCCUUCUCCACCCAGAGACCUCAAGAGAUGGGGGCAUCAUCAUUUCCCUUUGCAGAUCCUUAAAAUAAACUGUAGCCAGCUCAGUGGAGAAGCAGAAGCAGACUGGGAGCAGCACACACCUGCUUUUCCUAGAGGCACCCACGUAAAGAAUAACUGAAAACAAUUUGCUGUUCUCCUGACCUGCCUCCUCAAGGGCUCCCAAGAUACAGGGACACCACCCAGAUCUCAUCAAGCUCAUUUGAAGAAAUCCUGAGCAGACGCAGAAGCAAAGAUAAUCUGCAAUACUAUCGCCAUCAGCUUGAACACCCACACACCACCAGGCAAGAUCUGUGAUUCCUGAUUGCCUCCUGUCCCUGAUAAGUUUCCUUUUCCCUCUGUAAACUGCUCCUGACUGUCAUCCCUUUUCUCCAAAGAGAGCCU